UGUUUUGCGCAGAGGCGGUACCAUAGCCAAUGAGGGUUAUCCAAGGCGUGGUUAUUGCUAGUUGAAAAUAGGAAGGGCAUCCAGCCACAGAAAAUUACCUCAAGAAAUUCCAUCCAAUUGUGUAAGCUUGGAAAAGU
rnacentral:snRNA from 1 species